UUUUGCACCAAAAACGUCUCAAGAAUUCUUUCUUGGUCGUUGUCUCCGGAACCCCCGCCUCCAGACAUGCCGGAAUGAGCUCUGAGGACUGAGAGCCCUGCCUGUGCACUGCAGUGAAGAGACGCCUGACUCCUAGAGUAGCACGGGAGGGACCCCUUUUACCUGUCCAGAGACGCUCAGGGUAAAUUCAAGCAGCCUGACUGAUUCUCUUGACCGCAUGCUCGUUAACAUGCUCAUCAAACACCUUCCUAAACAACACUUUCUUGUCUCCCUUACUCCCAGGAAGAAGGGAAUUGGGAUGCAAGGUCUUUGGAGUUUCCCGCUUGUCUACGUCCAGCUGCCUGAUGAGUCUUUCCUUCCCUGGGAGUCGGGAGAAGCAGACUGGCCAUACAGGUGGGCAUGAGGUGUGGGGCUAAGAGAGGUGGGGGGUGAGGCUCAGGUGACACAGAGGCCCAGGGCCCGAGGCUGUCUGUGGGCAGAGAGAGUGCAAUUACUGAUGUGGACAGUUCUAAUAGACCUGGUCUCCAGGGAGAAGCUAGGCCUGAAUCUGCCACACGCCAAGGACUCAGGGUGUCUGAAUCUCCCUCCCUCCCUCCCUUAGUUUCAAUGUUGACACUUUUUGUUGUUGUUGUUGAGAGAGAGAGAGAGUGUGAGUGGGGGAGAGGCAGAGAAAGAGGGAGACACAGAAUCUGUAGCAGGUUCCAGGCUCUGAGCUGUCAGCAGAGAGCCUGACACGGGGCUCGAACCCAGGAACCCUGAGAUCAUGACCUGAGCUGAAGUCGGACGCUUAGCCGAUGGAGCCACCCAGGCGCCCCUAGUUGCUCAGACUUUAAGCCACAAGUUUCUUCUGAUAGAUUGCAAAAUUUGCCCCAAAUGUCUCUCAUCCCACGUGUUUGUCUGCUUUUGCAUUCGUAACUUUGAAGCUUCUCCCGUCAAGAGGUGGAAUGUAUUUGUCUCUCCCUUGGAUCUGGCCUUGGCCAAGUGAUUUCACAAAUGUCACCGAAGCAGAUGCUUGAAAAGAGCCAGGUGCAUUGCAACCUGGUCCCCUCUUGGUUCCCUCAUAACCUGAGCAACCACGUGAAAGAGGCUGAGCUUAUCUGCCAAGAGGAGGAGGGACUCCAGGCAAUAGCCUGCCAACCUCCGGACUCAUGGGUGAGCCCAUCCCGGACCAGGCAGGGCCCGCUGACUCUCCAGGUGUUAAAGAGACAGGAGAAGGCAGGACCGGGUUCAGCCACCUGCAGCCCUGACUACAAGAACCUCCAGCCCUUGGAGGUUAAGUGUAUUGUAAGUGUAAUCAUUGGUAGCCGUUUUAAGCAACCAAGUCUGGGGGUGGCUGGAGGCAGAAAUUGACACGCAUUCAGUGAAUGGCCUUGACUUAGUCUUUUACAACUGUGACAGCCCACCGGUCCUUCGUGUCAUCUCUUUCCAGGUACAAAAGCGCAGCGUGAGUCUGGUUUGUGCAGUGCAAACAAGGAAGAGGGUUCUCACCUGGAACCCAAUCAGCCUAGCUUCUUGAUCUUGGAUUUCUCAGCCUCCAGAAGUGUGAAAAAUAAAUGUUUUUCCGUUUAAGUCACCCAGCCUGUAGUAUUUUGUUAUAGCUGAGACAGUUAUCAGAUUUCAUUUCCUUGGUGGCUGUGGGGGUAUCUUUGUCAAGUUUUUAUGUCAAUGAGUUUGUAGGCUUUUUUUUUUUUAAUCCACUAACUAGAACAGUUUAAAUAAUAUCUGCACGUGGUGACCGUUGUCAUCUACCUCAAUGUCUAAUCUCCCUUACUUCCUUGACGUGAGAAUCUCGGAAUGUUAGCCGGCCGCCUUGAAGAACGAGGCUAUUUCUCAGUUCCCUAGGUGAGGUCUUAGACUAAGUUCUGGCUGAGACAACGCAAGCAGAAAGUUGUACGGUAGGUUUUAGGGAGCUACGUCAAAAAUAACUGUCGCAUGCAUGCCCUUUACUUCCAUGUUCCCUUCUCCGUCCUACAGCUUGGAAUGCAGGUGAGAUGGCUGGAGCUCUGGCCGGCUUAGGUCCCAGCUGUGGCGGAAGGGCUGCUAACAGGAACCUGGCAAAUCUGUGCAGUUUCCAGACCGGCCCCGGACUUUCUGGAUUUCCUGGACUUCUACAUCUGGACUGUUUUUGUAUGGGAGAGACAUGAACCUCUUUCAGCCACUAUCAUUUUGGGUUGUCUAGUCAACAGAACUCAAUCUAAUCUCCCAAUAGCAAUGCGUC
rnacentral:lncRNA from 1 species